CACGUAGGGUGCGAGCGUUGUCCGGAAUUAUUGGGCGUAAAGAGCUCGUAGGCGGUGUGUCGCGUCGGCCGUGAAAACCUGCAGCUUAACUGUGGGCUUGCGGUCGAUACGGGCAUCACUGGAGUUCGGCAGGGGAGACUGGAAUUCCUGGUGUAGCGGUGAAAUGCGCAGAUAUCAGGAGGAACACCGGUGGCGAAGGCGAGUCCCUGGACGAUACCUGACACUGAGGCACGAAAGCCAAGGGAGCAAACAGG
rnacentral:rRNA from 1 species